rnacentral:rRNA from 1 species
GGUUCAGGAUGAACGCUAGCGACAGGCCUAACACAUGCAAGUCGAGGGGCAGCGCGGGAGAAGCUUGCUUUCCUGGCGGCGACCGGCGCACGGGUGCGUAACAGGUGUGCAAUCUGUCCAUAGUCGGGGGAUAGCCCAGCGAAAGCUGAAUUAAUACUCCAUGUGAAUCGAAGCCGCAUGACUUUGAUUUGAAACGCAAGGACUAUGGGUGAGCACGCUUCUGAUUAGCUAGUUGGUGGGGUAACGGCUCACCAAGGCGACGAUCAGUAGGGGUUCUGAGAGGAAGGUCCCCCACAUUGGAACUGAGACACGGUCCAAACUCCUACGGGAGGCAGCAGUGAGGAAUAUUGGUCAAUGGGCGAGAGCCUGAACCAGCCAAGUCGCGUGAAAGGAUGAAGGUUCUAUGGAUUGUAAACUUCUUUUGUCCGAGGGUAAAAAAGGCCACGUGUGGCUUCUUGCAAGUAUCGGACGAAUAAGCAUCGGCUAACUCCGUGCCAGCAGCGGC